rnacentral:rRNA from 1 species
ACGAACGCUGGCGGCAUGCCUAACACAUGCAAGUCGAACGAGACCUUCGGGUCUAGUGGCGCACGGGUGCGUAACGCGUGGGAACCUGCCCUUAGGUUCGGAAUAACUCCCCGAAAGGGGUGCUAAUACCGGAUAAUGUCUUCGGACCAAAGAUUUAUCGCCUUUGGAUGGGCCCGCGUUGGAUUAGCUAGUUGGUACGGUAAAAGCCUACCAAGGCGACGAUCCAUAGCUGGUCUGAGAGGAUGAUCAGCCACACUGGGACUGAGACGCGGCCCAGACUCCUACGGGAGGCAGCAGUGGGGAAUAUUGGACAAUGGGCGAAAGCCUGAUCCAGCACUGCCGCGUGAGUGAUGAAGGCCUUAGGGUUGUAAAGCUCUUUUACCCGGGAUGCGCAUGACAGUACCGGGAGAAUAAGCUCCGGCUAACUCCGUG